rnacentral:rRNA from 1 species
AAUGAACGUUGGCGGCGUGGAUUAGGCAUGCAAGUCGAACGGACCAUGGUAGCAAUAUUAUGGUUAGUGGCGCAAGGGAGAGUAAUACGUAGGUAUUUACCCUGGGGUCUGGGAUAGCGGCGGGACACUGCGGGUAAUACCAGAUGAUAUCUCCGGAUCCAAGGUGUGAUUCCGCCCUAGGAGAAGCCUGCGGUCUAUCAGCUAGUUGGUAGGGUAACGGCCUACCAAGGCAAAGACGGAUAUGGGGCGUGAGAGCGUGCCCCCACUCACUGGGACUGAGACACUGCCCAGACACCUACGGGUGGCUGCAGUCGAGAAUCUUCGGCAAUGGGCGCAAGCCUGACCGAGCGACGCCGCGUGCGGGAUGAAGGCCUUCGGGUUGUAAACCGCUGUCGAAGGGGAGGAAAUUCUAGUGGGUUCACCCAUUAGAUUGACCGAUCCUUGGAGGAAGGGCCGGCUAAUCUCGUGCCAGCAGCCGCAGUAAUAC